rnacentral:tRNA from 1 species
GAUCUCAUGGCCGAAAGGACGAGGCGCUGGUCUACGAAACCAGAGAUUCUGGGUUCGAUCCCCAGUGAGAUCG